rnacentral:rRNA from 1 species
UACGUAGGGUGCAAGCGUUAAUCGGAAUUACUGGGCGUAAAGCGUGCGCAGGCGGUUAUGUAAGACAGAUGUGAAAUGCCCGGGCUUAACCUGGGAACUGCAUUUGUGACUGCAUGGCUAGAGUUUGGCAGAGGGGGGUAGAAUUCCACGUGUAGCAGUGAAAUGCGUAGAUAUGUGGAGGAACACCGAUGGGCGAAGGCAGC